UAGUUUUAAAGACACAAACUGCUCCUGUUCUGGCUCAGCAGCAGUGGAGAGAGGCUGCUCCACAGCUGGGAGGACUACUCAGGCUGGCUUCUACAAGUAGAUCCUUUCUGUUUCUUGCAUGGGGACCACCAUGUUUGCUGACCUGGGAACUGCAAAGUCCUGUUACACUUAUAGCUACUAGAAGGGCAAUUGGGGUUAAGUGACUUGCCCAGGAUCACACAGCUAUUCCACCAGAGGGAGCUCUGCAUGGCUUUGAGGAGAUACGACUUUAAAGCAGCGAAGAUGUUUUUAACCAACAUACUGCGAUAGGAAGGAGGAAGGAAGGAUGGAAACACAUUUAUCAAGCACUUACUAUAUUCCAGUCACUGUACUAAGUGCUU